rnacentral:rRNA from 1 species
GACUAAGGUUUCCAGAGGAAGGCUCGUCCGCUCUGGGUUAGUCGGGUCCUAAGCUGAGGCCGACAGGCGUAGGCGAUGGAUAACAGGUUGAUAUUCCUGUACCACCUAUAAUCGUUUUAAUCGAUGGGGGGACGCAGUAGGAUAGGCGAAGCGUGCGAUUGGAUUGCACGUCUAAGCAGUAAGGCUGAGUAUUAGGCAAAUCCGGUACUCAUUAAGGCUGAGCUGUGAUGGGGAGAAGACAUUGUGUCUUCGAGUCGUUGAUUUCACACUGCCGAGAAAAGCCUCUAGAUAGAAAAUAGGUGCCCGUACCGCAAACCGACACAGGUAGUCAAGAUGAGAAUUCUAAGGUGAGCGAGCGAACUCUCGUUAAGGAACUCGGCAAAAUGACCCCGUAACUUCGGGAGAAGGGGUGCUCUUUAGGGUUAACGCCCAGAAGAGCCGCAGUGAAUAGGCCCAAGCGACUGUUUAUCAAAAACACAGGUCUCUGCUAAACCGUAAGGUGAUGUAUAGGGGCUGACGCCUGCCCGGUGCUGGAAGGUUAAGAGGAGUGGUUAGCUUCUGCGAAGCUACGAAUCGAAGCCCCAGUAAACGGCGGCCGUAACUAUAACGGUCCUAAGGUAGCGAAAUUCCUUGUCGGGUAAGUUCCGACCCGCACGAAAGGCGUAACGAUUUGGGCACUGUCUCAACGAGAGACUCGGUGAAAUCAUAGUACCUGUGAAGAUGCAGGUUACCCGCGACAGGACGGAAAGACCCCGUGGAGCUUUACUGUAGCCUGAUAUUGAAAUUCGGCACAGCUUGUACAGGAUAGGUAGGAGCCUUUGAAACGUGAGCGCUAGCUUACGUGGAGGCGCUGGUGGGAUACUACCCUAGCUGUGUUGGCUUUCUAACCCGCACCACUUAUCGUGGUGGGAGACAGUGUCAGGCGGGCAGUUUGACUGGGGCGGUCGCCUCCUAAAAGGUAACGGAGGCGCUCAAAGGUUCCCUCAGAAUGGUUGGAAAUCAUUCAUAGAGUGUAAAGGCAUAAGGGAGCUUGACUGCGAGACCUACAAGUCGAGCAGGGUCGAAAGACGGACUUAGUGAUCCGGUGGUUCCGCAUGGAAGGGCCAUCGCUCAACGGAUAAAAGCUACCCCGGGGAUAACAGGCUUAUCUCCCCCAAGAGUUCACAUCGACGGGGAGGUUUGGCACCUCGAUGUCGGCUCAUCGCAUCCUGGGGCUGUAGUCGGUCCCAAGGGUUGGGCUGUUCGCCCAUUAAAGCGGUACGCGAGCUGGGUUCAGAACGUCGUGAGACAGUUCGGUCCCUAUCCGUCGUGGGCGUAGGAAAUUUGAGAGGAGCUGUCCUUAGUACGAGAGGACCGGGAUGGACAUACCUCUGGUGUACCAGUUGUCGUGCCAACGGCAUAGCUGGGUAGCUAUGUGUGGACGGGAUAAGUGCUGAAAGCAUCUAAGCAUGAAGCCCCCCUCAAGAUGAGAUUUCCCAACUUCGGUUAUAAGAUCCCUCAAAGAUGAUGAGGUUAAUAGGUUCGAGGUGGAAGCAUGGUGACAUGUGGAGCUGACGAAUACUAA